rnacentral:rRNA from 1 species
GACGAACGCUGGCGGCGUGCUUAACACAUGCAAGUCGAACGAAGUGGCGAACGGGUCAGUAAUACGUCGGUAACCUGCCCUCCUUUUUGGGAUAAGCCUUCGCAACGGGGUCUAUUACCGAAUCUAGGGGGAUGGGCUAGCGGCCUGUCAGCGUGUUGGUGGGGUGAUUGCCUACCAAGGCGGUGACGGGUAGCCGGGCUGAUAGGGUACACGGCGACAGUGAGACGGAGAAACCGCCUAGGCUACGACGGGGGGGAGCAGUGGGGGAUAUUGAAGAAUGGGCGAAAGACUGAUGCAGCGAGGCCGCAGGGGGGAUGAAGGCUUUCGGGUUGUAAAGCUCGUUCGCUAUCGAAAGGGUAGGUGAAGAGGAAGCGACGGCUAACUACGUGCCAGCAGCCGCGGUAAUAC